AGUCGAGCGGAANGAGUUAUCUGANCCUUCGGGGAACGAUAACGGCGUCGAGCGGCGGACGGGUGAGUAAUGCCUGGGAAAUUGCCCUGAUGUGGGGGAUAACCAUUGGAAACGAUGGCUAAUACCGCAUAAUAGCUUCGGCUCAAAGAGGGGGACCUUCGGGCCUCUCGCGUCAGGAUAUGCCCAGGUGGGAUUAGCUAGUUGGUGAGGUAAGGGCUCACCAAGGCGACGAUCCCUAGCUGGUCUGAGAGGAUGAUCAGCCACACUGGAACUGAGACACGGUCCAGACUCCUACGGGAGGCAGCAGUGGGGAAUAUUGCACAAUGGGCGCAAGCCUGAUGCAGCCAUGCCGCGUGUAUGAAGAAGGCCUUCGGGUUGUAAAGUACUUUCAGCAGUGAGGAAGGCGGAUGCGUUAAUANCGUAUUCGUUUGACGUUAGCUGCAGAAGAAGCACCGGCUAACUCCGUGCCAGCAGCCGCGGUAAUACGGAGGGUGCGAGCGUUAAUCGGAAUUACUGGGCGUANAGCGCAUGCAGGUGGUUUGUUAAGUCANAUGUGANAGCCCGGGGCUCAACCUCGGAAUUGCAUUUGAAACUGGCAGACUAGAGUACUGUAGAGGGGGGUAGAAUUUCANGUGUAGCGGNUGAAAUGCGUAGAGAUCUGANNGAAUACCGGUG
rnacentral:rRNA from 1 species